AGGACUGCGCCCCAGGAUGCAACAAAAGCCAGCUGCACGGCGCCAAAGCUGAAGGCCUGAGCUACGCUGUGCUGCUACCCCUUGUCCCUCCAGAUUCUCUUUUCCUUCACCUGUUUGUCAGUAAACUAAAGCCACCACAGUUUGUCAUUUGGAUGAUUAUCACCAGAUGGAGAAGUUGCAGAUCCAGAGUCUUGACAGCCUCACAGCUUCCAAGGCAGUGGCCCCGUGGGGUGCAGACCCCUCCUUCCUGCAGUUGCAGAGCCAGCUAAGAGGUGGGCAGCAGGCCAGGCCCCCUCAGCAGCCCCUGGAGCGCAUACCAGUUGCAGAUGCUCAGGAGGCUCGGGGGAAGGAACGGGUUUUCACCAGAACACCGCAGGCAGGGCCUCCCAGGAAAGGCCUCCAGAUGCCGUGAAAACCUGCAGCUUGUCCUCCUCCCGGCUUCCCAGGUUACCCAGCCACAACACACCGAUGCUGGAUCUGGGACAGCUCCACUGGAACCUGAGAUGCCCUGAGGGUGUCCCAGUGAUAUAAAAUAUGAGGAAAGCAGAAACAACUAAGAACCAGACUCUGAAUGUGGCAGAUUCUAGAACUGAAAGGUGGAAGGGUCGCAGACCUUCACUUUCCACACCUCAAGGCGCUCAGUCAGUCACCCGUUCAUGCCUGAGAUUGUGAAUCCAAUAGGAAAGUACAAGGACAUGGAGAUUGUCAGAGCUGAUGUAUGAUGGUGGCAGCAGAGUCAAGAGUCCAGCAGAGAGGCAGCAAGCAUCCCAGGGAUCCCAUGAUUGAGAACCAGCUUCUGUGGUUUAGCAGCAAGGCACCAACUGGUAUGAGAAGCACAGACAGAUGGUGCCCUGGGAACACUGGCUGUCACAUGCUGGAGGAGGUCCGUCAGCAAUCACCUUCCCUCUAUGGGCCUCUAUUGGAGAGAAGGCAUCAAGAUUAUUCCGGCUAUGAUUCCUGAGCUUUUAAUAUAUUCGUUCUGAUGAUUAAGAAAUAUAUCUGGGCCGGGCGCGGUGGCUCAAGCCUGUAAUCCCAGCACUUUGGGAGGCCGAGACGGGCGGAUCACGAGGUCAGGAGAUCGAGACCAUCCUGGCUGACACGGUGAAACCCCGUCUCUACUUUAAAAAUACAAAAAAAAAAAAAACUAGCCGGGCGAGGUGGCGGCGCCUGUAGUCCCAGCUACUCGGGAGGCU